rnacentral:rRNA from 1 species
CGAACGCUGGCGGCAGGCUUAACACAUGCAAGUCGAGCGCCCCGCAAGGGGAGCGGCAGACGGGUGAGUAACGCGUGGGAAUCUACCCAUCACUACGGAACAACUCCGGGAAACUGGAGCUAAUACCGGAUAAGCCCGAGAGGGGAAAGAUUUAUUGCCGAAGGAUUGGCCCGCGUCUGAUUAGCUAGUUGGAGAGGUAAUGGCUCACCAAGGCGACGAUCAGUAGCUGGUCUGAGAGGAUGAUCAGCCACACUGGGACUGAGACACGGCCCAGACUCCUACGGGAGGCAGCAGUGGGGAAUAUUGGACAAUGGGGGCAACCCUGAUCCAGCCAUGCCGCGUGAGUGAUGAAGGCCUUAGGGUUGUAAAGCUCUUUUACCUGGGAAGACAAUGACUGUACCAGGAGAAUAAGCCCCGGCUAACUUCGUGCCAGCAG